rnacentral:lncRNA from 1 species
GGCGCCAACAAACUAGUUUUAUCCCCGCCGCAAAGUAAAUGAUGUAAGUGCAUGUUCAAAAUCCUGUGUACAGUGGUUGUCGUUGGUUGUUGCGUCACACAUUGUGUUCGUUCAUUUUUUUGUACAUAAAUUAGGCCGUUACUUUUUUACUGUUUUAAAUUGUUUUACAACUGUAAUUUUAGGGCCCUUUAUAGCUGUCUAUGUGGUAUGAGUUUUGGUCAUUGUUGAAAGCCGUUGGGUGAAUUAUAGCUGUUUUGUUCUGUUCUCUCAUUUGGUACUCAUACUACAUCUGUCAGACGAUUUCGUAAAAUGUCCUGGUGUUUUAGAGUGUUUUUUUUUUUUAGAUAAAUAUCAAUAGCCGAAUUUUCACACCGUCUAUUAACCUGCUGUUUAAGAUUAUUUUUUGUUUUAAUUAACAUUAUUAACCAUGGUAUACUUAAAAUUAAACAUAUUUUUUC